rnacentral:rRNA from 1 species
UGGAUUCAGCGGCGGACGGGUGAGUAAUGCCUAGGAAUCUGCCUGGUAGUGGGGGACAACGUUUCGAAAGGAACGCUAAUACCGCGUACGUCCUACGGGAGAAAGCAGGGGACCUUCGGGCCUUGCGCUAUCAGAUGAGCCUAGGUCGGAUUAGCUAGUUGGUGAGGUAAUGGCUCACCAAGGCGACGAUCCGUAACUGGUCUGAGAGGAUGAUCAGUCACACUGGAACUGAGACACGGUCCAGACUCCUACGGGAGGCAGCAGUGGGGAAUAUUGGACAAUGGGCGAAAGCCUGAUCCAGCCAUGCCGCGUGUGUGAAGAAGGUCUUCGGAUUGUAAAGCACUUUAAGUUGGGAGGAAGGGUUGUAGAUUAAUACUCUGCAAUUUUGACGUUACCGACAGAAUAAGCACCGGCUAACUCUGUGCCAGCAGCCGCGGUAAUACAGAGGGUGCAAGCGUUAAUCGGAAUUACUGGGCGUAAAGCGCGCGUAGGUGGUUUGUUAAGUUGGAUGUGAAAUCCCCGGGCUCAACCUGGGAACUGCAUCCAAAACUGGCAAGCUAGAGUAUGGUAGAGGGUGGUGGAAUUUCCUGUGUAGCGGUGAAAUGCGUAGAUAUAGGAAGGAACACCAGUGGCGAAGGCGACCACCUGGACUGAUACUGACA